rnacentral:rRNA from 1 species
AUUGAACGCUGGCGGCAUGCCUUACACAUGCAAGUCGAACGGCAGCGGGGGAGAAGCUUGCUUUUCCUGCCGGCGAGUGGCGAACGGGUGAGUAAUACAUCGGAACGUGCCCUGUAGUGGGGGAUAACUAGUCGAAAGAUUAGCUAAUACCGCAUACGACCUGAGGGUGAAAGUGGGGGACCGCAAGGCCUCAUGCUAUAGGAGCGGCCGAUGUCUGAUUAGCUAGUUGGUGGGGUAACGGCCUACCAAGGCGACGAUCAGUAGCUGGUCUGAGAGGACCAUCAGCCACACUGGGACUGAGACACGGCCCAGACUCCUACGGGAGGCAGCAGUGGGGAAUUUUGGACAAUGGGCGAAAGUCUGAUCCAGCAAUGCCGCGUGUGUGAAGAAGGCCUUCGGGUUGUAAAGCACUUUUGUCCGGAAAGAAAUGGCUCUGGUUAAUACCUGGGGUCGAUGACGGUACCUGAAGAAUAAGGACCGGCUAACUACGUGCCAGCAGCCGCCGUAA